rnacentral:rRNA from 1 species
UGGGGAAUUUUGGACAAUGGGGGAAACCCUGAUCCAGCCAUCCCGCGUGUGCGAUGAAGGCCUUCGGGUUGUAAAGCACUUUUGGCAGGAAAGAAACGUCAUGGGUUAAUACCCCGUGAAACUGACGGUACCUGCAGAAUAAGCACCGGCUAACUACGUGCCAGCAGCCGCGGUAAUACGUAGGGUGCAAGCGUUAAUCGGAAUUACUGGGCGUAAAGCGUGCGCAGGCGGUUCGGAAAGAAAGAUGUGAAAUCCCAGAGCUCAACUUUGGAACUGCAUUUUUAACUACCGGGCUAGAGUGUGUCAGAGGGAGGUGGAAUUCCGCGUGUAGCAGUGAAAUGCGUAGAUAUGCGGAGGAACACCGAUGGCGAAGGCAGCCUCCUGGGAUAACACUGACGCUCAUGCACGAAAGCGUCGGGAGCAAACAGG